rnacentral:misc_RNA from 1 species
UACAGAGGUUGCAAGGGUUAAUCGAAAUUACUGGGCGUAAAGCGCGCGUAGGUGGCUUGAUAAGCCGGUUGUGAAAGCCCCGGGCUAAACCUGGGAACGGCAUCCGGAACUGUCAAGCUAGAGUGCAGGAGAGGAAGGUAGAAUUCCCGGUGUAGCGGUGAAAUGCGUAGAGAUCGGGAGGAAUAGCAGUGGCGAAGGCGGCCUUCUGGACUGACACUGACACUGAGGUGCGAAAGCGUGGGUAGCAAACAGG